CCUACGGGCGGCAGCAGUGGGGGAUAUUGCACAAUGGGGGAAACCCUGAUGCAGCGACGCCGCGUGGGCGAAGAAGUAUUUCGGUAUGUAAAGCCCUAUCAGCAGGGAAGAAGAAAUGACGGUACCUGAGUAAGAAGCACCGGCUAAAUACGUGCCAGCAGCCGCGGUAAUACGUAUGGUGCAAGCGUUAUCCGGAUUUACUGGGUGUAAAGGGAGCGCAGGCGGGACGGGAAGCCUGAUGUGAAAGCCCGCGGCCCAACCGCGGGACUGCAUUGGGAACUACCGUGCUGGAGUGCCGGAGAGGUAGGCGUCAUUCCUUGUGUCGCGGUUCACUGCGUAGAUUUUCGGCGG
rnacentral:rRNA from 1 species